ACCUACGGGAGGCAGCAGUAGGGAAUUUUCGUCAAUGGGGGGAACCCUGAACGAGCAAUGCCGCGUGAGUGAAGAAGGUCUUCGGAUCGUAAAGCUCUGUUGUAAGAGAAAAACGGAUAUCAUAGGGAAUGAUGAUAUCGUGAUGGUAUCUUACCAGAAAGCCACGGCUAACUACGUGCCAGCAGCCGCGGUAAUACGUAGGGGGCAAGCGUUAUCCGGAAUGAUUGGGCGUAAAGGGCUCGUAGGCGGUUCGUCGCGUCCGG
rnacentral:rRNA from 1 species